rnacentral:tRNA from 1 species
CCUGAUGGCUCAGACGGUAGAGCGUCUGCCUGCAGUGCAGGAGACCGGGGUUCGAUCCCUGGGUCGGGA